GCAGUGGUGAUUCAGUGGUAGAAUGCUCACCUUCCAUGCAGGAGGCCCAGCUUAGAUUUCUGGCCAGUGCA
rnacentral:tRNA from 1 species